CCCCUUUCUGGAUCGCACCUGAAGAGUUUCCAGUACUCUAUCAGUCUCAGCUACAGAAAGGAGAGUCAGGCAGAGGCAUACCCAUUCCAUUCCUAGCUUGAGCAGUGGCUAGCAAGUGGAAGGUGUUCUGUUACCAGU
rnacentral:snoRNA from 2 species